GAAUAUUGGACAAUGGAGGAAACUCUGAUCCAGCCAUGCCGCGUGUAUGAAGAAGGCCUUAGGGUUGUAAAGUGCUUUCAAACGUGAAGAUAAUGACGGUAGCGUUAGAAGAAGCUCCGGCUAAAUUCGUGCCAGCAGCCGCGGUAAUACGAAUGGAGCAAGCGUUGUUCGGAAUCACUGGGCUUAAAGCGUGCGCAGGCGGACAAGGAAGUCAGAAGUGAAAUCCCAGGGCUCAACCCUGGAGCUGCUUUUGAAACUCCUUGUCUAGAAUCCGGGAGAGGUCAGUAGAAUUCCCAGUGUAGAGGUGAAAUUCGCAGAUAUUGGGAGGAAUACCAGUGGCGUAGGCGACUGACUGGACCGGUAUUGACGCUCAGGCACGAAAGCAUGGGGAGCGAACAGG
rnacentral:rRNA from 1 species